AGGCACUUCCUGUUUAUUUUCGAAGAAGUGGAACGAGACAAAACGAUUUAAUAUAUUGACAUUAUUGUGCGAAAUGUACAUAGAUCAGAUUUGAAGAAGUGGCGGCAGUUACAUAUCCAAAGAAACCUUGUCAGCAAAGAAAACCUACAUGUAAAACACAAAGCAGAAGAAAAAGCAAUCAGUGUGAACAGCCUGUGGUUGUAACAUCACAAAUUGUUCAACAUGGUACCAACAAAACUGUAUUACAGGAGCCUUCAACUUCCAAUGAAAAUGUGUCACUUUCCCAAAGUACAUCUGGAAGGUCUAGACGGUCCAGACAUGUCAAAUUGGUUGGUAGAAAAAUUCUUCAUGAAUGGUGCGUUUGUGACAAAAAGAAAAAGGGAAAAAAUAAAUGGUUCUCUGGAAUUGUCUUAGAUGUUCUCAAAGGAAAAGAUGGUGACCCCAAAGCAGUAUAUGAAGUACUGUAUGAAGGAGAGGAUGCUGCAAAUAAAGUAGAUCACUUACAUGAUGACUUCAUAAAAGGCUCCUUAAAAUUCAACGACAUUUGAGGACAGAACUGAUGCAUUUAGGCCUAACAGACAUGUCACAGUGGAGAUGCAUAGGUUUCUGCUAUAACACCCUCAACUGUGUAUAAAGGAAAUGAGUGUAUUUUACAUGAACAAUGAAGUGUAAGGAAUGAAAUUAGAAUGAUGUAUCUGUUACUGUUGUAAUGCUAUUACAGCAAAGUUUCUUCCUGGAAACAAGUGAUAUGGAUCAGAGUAAUUAAUUUUAGAAAGAUGAAGGAAAUUAUGUUACAGAAGCUAUGCUUGGGAUCCAUGUGAAAGGUGUAAAGGAAAGUGCUACACUUUAUAUGUUCUGUUAUAAUGGUGAUGAAUGUAGUGUAUAUUUGAUUUAUGCCAUUGUGUGAAAUCUCACGAGAAUAUAUUCAAUUGUGCCUGCAUGAUUCUACAUGUAUGAUUCAACACUUUGAAAGAGUUAUUUGGAACCAAUGUAAAGCAGGAGGAAAAUAGAAAACUUUGUUUCAUUCAUUUUCGUCAUGUGAAGCAACACCAAUGACUUUGUAUGUAUGCAUUAAUAGUUGUGUUUAUAAAGAAUCUUACUGACAUUAUAGUGAGUAAACAUACUAAAAUUGUGUCUUAAAACAUUUAGUGUGUAAGACAUAUUGACAGGGUUUGUUUUACUGCAUAUUGUAUAUAAGCUGUAUAAAGGAUUCUAUAAAUAUCUAAAUAGGACUUGAGGGAUUAAUUUAAUAUCAAUCAAAUAUUUUAUUCCACAAUAUGCAAUAUAUAUAAAAUAUUUCUAUAUAGAUAAGGACAUUGUUUAGUAUAUAUUUUUACAGAAAUUGUGAACUGCUCUUGUACAUAAUUAUGAUAUAUAUUGUACAGUUAUAGCAUUGUACUUCCUUGAGAGUAUUCAGUUGUUACAUGAAUCACAACUGUUGUACCCAAAUCUAUGUAUAAGCACAUGUAGAUGUAAGUUUGAAAUUUACUUGUUACAUAGACAUUUAUGUUUAAUUCUCUUUCUGAUAACUUGAGACCAGUAUUUCAUGAAAUAUCACUUGUUUUUACUUAGAAUUUCAUGUUAAAGAUUUGGGCCACCAGUACUUUCACUAUAUAAGUUAUAACUAGAACAUUUUAUUCCAAAUUUAAAUAGUUGCACCACAUCACCAAAAUAAUUUUCAGCUCGACUUUUUGAAGAAAAAGUACAGCUAUUGCAAUUGCUGUGGUGUCGGCAUUGGCAUCAUCGUUUCUUAAAUUUUUUUAUAAAGUCUGAUAUCUAUGGUACUGUGAAAGAUAUUGAAAUAAAUAGUUCUUUACUAUAAAAGUCUACACCAAGAGAAACAAUCCCCAUAAGUGUGAUUUGAAUAUUCAUGGAGUUAUGGCCCUUUUUGACUGAGAAUUUUUGGUUGAAGUUUUUGAUAAAGUCACAUAUCUCUGUUACUAUCAAAGCUAUUGACUUUAAACUUGAAAUAGUUAUUUACUAUCAAAGUCUACAGCAGGAAAAGGAAACCCCAUAACUCUGAUUUGAAUUUUGACGGAGAAAUGUCCCUGUUUAACUUAGAUUUUUUGCUUAAAGUUUUAUAAAAUUUUUACUGGCAAAGGUAUAAUUUAGAGUAAAGCACUGAGAAAAGUCGAGCAAGCUAUCUUACGGACAACUCUUGUUGAGUUUUGCACCCCUUUUUAGUAAUAAUUUCAGAUUUAUGUUUCUGAAUGUUCACUAUAUCUUUGUUAUUACUUAAUGCAUUUUAUAAAAUAUGUACAUAUUUCAUCCACAUUAUUGUCCUAAUCACAUGCCAAAAGGUACUACAGUCUGAUAAAUGUUUUGUUUUUUUGCUAUUGAAGUAAGUCACCAUUUUACUGAGAAUGUCACUUUAAUUUGUAUAGAUUUUCUAACACAUAUUUUUUAUUUACUAAACUGAUUUAAAUAAAACUUUAAAUGCUUGUUCCACAUCUUUACCCAAAUCAGAUGGCACAAGGUUCACAUUGCAGGCACAAAUGACUUAUGCCCCUUUUUAUAUGCCCAAGGACAUAUAUAAUGUUAUACCACCGUAGUCUGUAUAAACUUCCAUCUCUCUGUCUUUCUGUUAGCAAGUUGUGUCCACUCUGUAAGUCAUGAACUGCUCAUAAACAAUGUAAUGUUGAAUAUUUCCAAAGUUAAAAAAAUUGUUCAAGCAGUAUACUGUAUCCGAUGAGAGACUUACACAAAAUUCAAACACAAACUGUGAAUAUUAUAUUUUUGUAAUGUCCGUUAUGUUAAAACAUUUAAUAGCACAGAAUUGUAACUCCAACAUUGAAAAUAAUGUUGACAUAUGUAAACCUACCAACAUUUCUUCCGCACUAUGUAAUCUAAACAGUAAAGGCAAAAUGGAGAACCUUUACUGCAUGUAUCUCAGUAUUUUUGGAAAGAUAUCUCAUUUUUAAUCCGCCAAGAGUGGUGGGGGGUUAUAGGAAUGGUCUCCGUCCGUCCGUCGUUCUGUCUGUUCGUAACACUUCGCUAACACCACUGUUCGCUCCAUAUGUCCUAAACCCCUUGAAGGAUUUUCAUGAAACUUGGGUGAAAUGAUCACCUCAUCAAGACGAUGUGCAGAACUCAUGAUUCAGCCUUUUCACCUCAAGGUCAAGGUCAGAACUUGGGGGUCAACGGUUCGAGCCUUCCAUUUUGUGUCCACUCUGUAUUUUCCUCAAAAUUGGGUCAAAUGGUCACCUCAUCAUGAACUCAUGAGUCAGCCAUGUCAACUCAAGGUAAAGGUCAUAACUCACGGUCAAAGGUUAGAGCUAUGUAUCUUCUAAACCCCUUAAAGGAUUCUCAAGAAACUUUAGUCAAAUGAUCGCCUCAUCAGGACGAUAAUUAUGCAGAAUUCAUGAGUCAGCCAUGUCUGUUCUAGUUCAAGGUCACAGGUAAAGGUCAAAGGUUUAGCCUUUUACUAUCCAUAAGAGUGGAUUUAGCUGUCUGUCCCACUGCCUUUUUAAAGAUAUCUUUCUGCCCCCCUUUUGUUUCAGGGUAGAAUUAAUCUGAACAGCAAUAACUCACUAAUUAACUAAUUUUUGUUUUUUUGAAUAAGUCUAAAAAUUGAAAACUUACAAGAUAUCAAAAGCUGUAUGAGGACAGCAACGCUAAACUAUUCAACAGCCUUGUCAAGUGAAUGAAUAAAUAAGUCAAAAGGGGCAUAAUUUUUUUAAUUUGCAAAACAGGGGUUAUAGAACCUGCACUGUAUCAGCUUAUGACAGCGCACAAUCAUGUGAAGCUUCAAUCCAUUCCCAUUGGUGGAUACUGACAUAGCAGCUUACUUACAAAAAUUAACCAAAAAGUGGAAAAGGGACAUAAUUUUUUAAGAAAAAUAACAGUUACGUGUCCUGCUAAGUGUCCGAACAUGUCAGUGUUUGAAGUUUAAAUCCAUUUUCAUUACUGAGUACUGACAUACCAGCUUACAUACAAAAACAUUAACACUUUGUAGUUUUCUCUCAGUUUUAUUAAUGUUUGGCUUUAAGGCGUUUAUGAAAUGAUUUAAAUUGUAGUAUUGUGAGACGCCAUGAUGUAGAGAAUUUCUUAGAAUUUUGUCAUUUUGAUAUAGGCCUAAGACCAAAACCUUAAUUAAACUGACUGAAAACUACAGUCUUAAAAAAUUUGCUUCCCCUUACGGUAAUAACUGUGUUACAAAACCUUUACCCAAAAAUUUAUAACUUGAAAAAGGGCCAUAAUUUGGUAAAAAUGGAAAACAGAGUUAUGGAACCUGUGCAAUGUAACUCAAUAUAUCACAUUGAAUAUGUGUGUGAAGUUUCAAUCCAUUCUCUUAAGUGUUUUCUUAUAUACUAACUUACAUAAAAAAAUUAACCAAAUUUAGACACCAGUGGUGAGUCAAAUAGCUGUACUAUUCUUUGAAAAGUCAAAAUAAAAAGGAAUAUAAUGGGGAAAAAGGGUCUAGUUGGGCUUAAAAGUAUGCCCUCGGAAAAAUGUAAGUCAAAGUAGCUUUAUUGUGGGAAUUGAAUAUUAUUCGAAAGGAGGUACACUAUUACCUUGGUCAUACCUUUAAAUGGUCCACAUUACAAGCCUUAUCAUAUGAUAUAAGGAAUUAUUACACGUUUUAUACUUAGUGACUGUUUUAUACACUUUUUAUUGUUUUUUACUUAUUAAUAAUACAUUUGACACAUGCUUAAAGUAUUGUCGAAUAUUUCAUCCAAAUUGUUGUCAUUAAACACUCCAUUGAAACCUCCAGCUUUCUCACAUGUGCCGAGUUUCGUUGUCAAGUUUGUAGAUAGUGUAGUUUGCUCACUUGUAUGACAGCUUUCAUUUUUAAAUUGCAAU